CAACAGGGAUUGCCUCAGUAACGGCGAGUGAAGCGGCAAUAGCUCAAAUUUGAAAUCUGGCUCUUUCAGAGUCCGAGUUGUAAUUUGUAGAGGAUGCUUCGGCUUACGUUUCGGUCUAAGUUCCUUGGAACAGGACGUCACAGAGGGUGAGAAUCCCGUUUGUGGCCGCGACUUCCGCCAUGUGAAGCUCCUUCGACGAGUCGAGUUGUUUGGGAAUGCAGCUCUAAAUGGGAGGUAUAUUUCUUCUAAAGCUAAAUACCGGCCAGAGACCGAUAGCGCACAAGUAGAGUGAUCGAAAGAUGAAAAGCACUUUGGAAAGAGAGUUAAAAAGUACGUGAAAUUGUUGAAAGGGAAGCGCUUGCGACCAGACUUGCCCGCGGAUGCUCAACCGGUCUUUCGGCCGGUGCACUCUUCCGCGGUCAGGCCAGCAUCAGUUCGAACGGUUGGAUAAAGGCCUUGGGAAUGUGGCUCUCUUCGGGGAGUGUUAUAGCCCUUGGUGCAAUACAGCCUGCUUGGACUGAGGCCCGCGCUUCGGCUAGGAUGCUGGCGUAAUGGUCG
rnacentral:rRNA from 1 species